rnacentral:rRNA from 1 species
GAUGAACGCUAGCGGCAGGCUUAAUACAUGCAAGUCGAGGGGCAUCAAGGUACACGAAAGUGUAUUGUUGGCGACCGGCGGACGGGUGAGUAAUAGGUAGGUAACCUACCUCAUACUGAGGCAUAGCUGGGAGAAAUUCCAGGUAAUUCCUCAUGAGGUUAUAUGACACAUGUGAUAUAAUCAAAGGUAUCGCAAGGUACUGGUAUGAGAUGGGCUUACUGACCAUUAGCUAGUUGGUGAGAUAAGAGCUCACCAAGGCGAAGAUGGUUAGGGGUUUUGAGAGAGAGAUCCCCCACAUUGGAACUGAGAUACGGUCCAGACUCCUACGGGAGGCAGCAGUAGGGAAUAUUGGGCAAUGGGCGGAAGCCUGACCCAGCCAUGCCGCGUGAAGGAAGGCGGCCUUAUGGGUUGUAAACUUCUUUACUAUGCGACUAACUAGAUUUACGAGAUAAUUCUAUAGAAUGUAGCAUAGCAAAAGCAACCGG